rnacentral:rRNA from 1 species
UACGUAGGGGGCUAGCGUUGUCCGGAUUUAUUGGGCGUAAAGAGCGUGUAGGCGGCCUGACAGGUCUGCUGUGAAAACUCGAGGCUCAACCUCGAGAUGUCGGCGGAAACCGUCUGGCUAGAGUCCGGAAGAGGAGAGUGGAAUUCCUGGUGUAGCGGUGAAAUGCGCAGAUAUCAGGAAGAACACCUAUGGCGAAGGCAGCUCUCUGGGACGGUACUGACACUGAGACGCGAAAGCGUGGGGAGCGAACAGG